AAGCGAUCUCGCUCGUCUCCUCCACGCUUUUUUCUUCCCAUUCCUCCCCCACUGUCCAAUAAAUAAUAAAAACAACACCAAAUUACCUCGAUUCGAUUUCCUCGCGAAUUCACCAGGCGCUAGUGUCGGAGCGCGAUCGGCGGACAGAUUCGUCGGCGGGCGGAGAUGGUUGCCGUGGCGGCCGAUGGCCUGAUCCGCGCGGACGCCGUGCCGGCGGCGGCCGGGGCUGGCACGGGGGCGGAGAGGGUGGAUGCGGCGGCUGCGGGAGGGGCGGGGGCGGCCAAGGCCAGGGAGGACGAGGUGAGGGAGUACAAGAGCGAUGUGAGGAAGCUGGAGGAGCUGUUCAAGAAGCUGAACCCCUCCGCGGAGGAGUUUGUGCCGCUCUCCCGCCGCCAAGCGGACGGCGGCCGGCGGCUGUCGGCCGACGCGCCCGUCUUCGUGUCGCCCGCCAUCGACUACUACGCGCCCCAUCACCCGUUCCAGCAGCAGCAGCCGCAGCAGAUGCACGUUCUGCAGGUGGUCGGUGGUGGGGGUAGAGACUCCAGCAGCGAUGGAUCCGUCAACGGCCAGCCGAAUCGACGGAGAAGGAAUGGCUUCAACCAGGGCAGGAGGAGGAUGGGACCCCGGCCACGGCGAACUGAUAGGGAGGAUAGUGUGCGGAGAACUGUCUAUGUUUCCGACAUUGAUCAACAUGUCACGGAACAGAAGCUUGCUGAGGUUUUCUCAAACUGUGGACAAGUGGUUGAUUGCCGUAUCUGUGGUGAUCCAAAUUCAGUGAUGCGUUUUGCUUUCAUCGAGUUUGCUGAUGAUGUUGGUGCAAGAGCAGCUUUAUCACUUGCUGGAACCAUUCUUGGUUAUUAUCCUGUCAGAGUUCUGCCUUCUAAGACUGCGAUUUUGCCUGUGAAUCCAAAAUUUCUUCCUCGGACAGAAGAUGAGAAAGAAAUGGUAUCCAGGACUGUGUACUGUACUAACAUUGAUAAAAAUGUUCCAGAAGAUGUAGUGAAGAAGUUCUUUGAGGGAAUCUGUGGUGAGGUUGCUCGACUGAGGCUGCUUGGUGAUUAUGUGCACUCCACUUGCAUUGCCUUUGUUGAGUUUGUUCAAGCAGAAGGUGCCAUUAUGGCCCUCAACUGCAGUGGCAUGCUUCUUGGCUCGCUCCCCGUCAGGGUGAGCCCGUCAAAGACACCAGUCCGCCCUCGUUCACCUCGUGCCAUGUCGCACUGAAUUUGGCUCUUGCCUGAAAGCCGGCGUCCAGGGCAGCAAUUCCGGGCAAGAAACCCUUAGUCGUGGCCUUAGAGACUGUCGCGCUGCGGAUCAGUAACUGUCGUUUGAGAGUGUUACCCUUGGUUAUCUAGGCUAGUAGAAGGCCCUUCCCUGCUGAUGUUUCUUGGAUCAGAUGAGAGACCCAUCUGUGGGAGGCCACGCGCAACAGGGUUUAGCGCGCUUGCCGAUUCACAUGAAAAGAAUCCAUACGACCAAUCUAAUCAUUUAGGACGAGCAUACGAUAUUCCUGCCUACUAAACAUGUGUCACGACUGAAAAAAGUGCACACUGAAGACAUACCUCAGAAGUAGCCUUGCUGGAUGGAAUCCAGAAAUUUUCUUCACCUGGAAAAUGACCGCAUUGAGGAAAGCCGCAAUAGAUAUGUAAGAAAUACAUAGAGGUAAAAUGAAAGAGAUAGGGGUAAAGAUAGAUGAGCUAAAAAAACCUGUGAAGUGAUCACAAGAAGUGCGGGAAAUUUCACCACAUCCGGCAAACACCAGGGAGCAUAGGCAACGGCAACAAUUGUUGAAUGAGAAGAGAACAUGUAGGAGUGUAAUAUAGGUUGUAGCAAUGGAAAGCCCUGUGAGCCAAUCGAUAUGUGCCUCUUCGCAUGCCCAGGUAAUGGAGACUGUUACUUGCAUUGAUUGGAGUAAUUGGGGGAGAAAUUAUAUAUAA